GGUAGCAAUACCUGAGUAAAGCGGCGAACGGGUGAGUAACACGUGGUUAACCUGCCGAAAUGUGGGGGAUACCCCGGGGAAACUCGGGACAAUACCGCAUACGGUCUUUUGGGCGUCGGCCCGGAAGAGCAAAGCCUGGGACCGCAAGGCCAGGCGCUGGAAGAGGGGCCCGCGUCUGAUUAGCUAGUUGGUGGGGUAAUGGCUCACCAAGGCUUCGAUCAGUAUCCGGCCUGAGAGGGCGGACGGACACACUGGAACUGAGACACGGUCCAGACUCCUACGGGAGGCAGCAGUGGGGAAUUGUUCGCAAUGGGCGCAAGCCUGACGACGCAACGCCGCGUGGAGGAUGAAGACCUUCGGG
rnacentral:rRNA from 1 species